GGGGAAUAUUGCACAAUGGGGGAAACCCUGAUGCAGCGACGCCGCGUGGAGGAAGAAGGUCUUCGGAUUGUAAACUCCUGUUGUUGGGGAAGAUAAUGACGGUACCCAACAAGGAAGUGACGGCUAACUACGUGCCAGCAGCCGCGGUAAAACGUAGGUCACAAGCGUUGUCCGGAAUUACUGGGUGUAAAGGGAGCGCAGGCGGGAAGACAAGUUGGAAGUGAAAUCUAUGGGCUCAACCCAUAAACUGCUUUCAAAACUGUUUUUCUUGAGUAGUGCAGAGGUAGGCGGAAUUCCCGGUGUAGCGGUGGAAUGCGUAGAUAUCGGGAGGAACACCAGUGGCGAAGGCGGCCUACUGGGCACCAACUGACGCUGAGGCUCGAAAGUGUGGGUAGCAAACAGGAUUAGAUACCCUGGUAGUCCACACCGUAAACGAUGAUUACUAGGUGUUGGAGGAUUGACCCCUUCAGUGCCGCAGUUAACACAAUAAGUAAUCCACCUGGGGAGUACGACCGCAAGGUUGAAACUCAAAGGAAUUGACGGGGGCCCGCACAAGCAGUGGAGUAUGUGGUUUAAUUCGACGCAACGCGAAGAACCUUACCAAGUCUUGACAUCCCUUGACAGACAUAGAAAUAUGUAUUCUCUUCGGAGCAAGGAGACAGGUGGUGCAUGGUUGUCGUCAGCUCGUGUCGUGAGAUGUUGGGUUAAGUCCCGCAACGAGCGCAACCCUUAUGGUCAGUUACUACGCAAGAGGACUCUGGCCAGACUGCCGUUGACAAAACGGAGGAAGGUGGGGAUGACGUCAAAUCAUCAUGCCCUUUAUGACUUGGGCUACACACGUACUACAAUGGCGUUAAACAAAGAGAAGCAAGACCGCGAGGUGGAGCAAAACUCAGAAACAACGUCCCAGUUCGGACUGCAGGCUGCAACUCGCCUGCACGAAGUUGGAAUUGCUAGUAAUCGUGGAUCAGCAUGCCACGGUGAAUACGUUCCCG
rnacentral:rRNA from 1 species